rnacentral:lncRNA from 1 species
AUUCACUCCACAGUCUGGGAUUAGGUGUUUUCCCGGGGUCCCCAGCCUGCUAAGGUUCUUAGAGUUUGGGAUGCUGCUCUUCCCAGUGAACAGGGAAGAGUCCUCAUGAGUGGGACUGGUAAGGGCAGUAGGGAGCGAAUGAUGGUUCAGUCGCUUGCUUGGGAGGCUGAGGCAGGGCAGUUACAAGUUGGAAGCCAGAGUGAGACCCUGUCUCAAAAUAAGAAGGAAAAGGGGGUCGGGGGUUGAUGCGUGGAUGAGACCCUAGGUCCCAUAGUAGGACUUCAGUAAUGUUGUGAGUUGUCCACCAGAGAAGAGAUGCGGACACUCUUAUGCUAAUAGAAAGUCCUCACUGGCUACACUGGAUGCUGGGGCCCCAGUGUAGCUCUGAGCCUCUCUUAGGGUAAGCUUUGUAAGUACAAAAACCAGAUCCUGGGUUGACACACCUCAGCUAACUAGAAAGGUUAGCAGAAGCACAACCGCAGAACCUCAAAAGCAAGGUAAUCCCACCUGUUUCUUCUCCCCACCAUCAUUGCUAUGGCUACUAGAAAAAGAAAAAUGUCACCUGCACACAUCACCCCAUCUGUGGCUCAAACCCUGUGUCUACCACUAAGUCAAUGACACCAGAUGACACCAGAGCCUCCAUUUUCAAUCCUGCUGUUGGGCAGCAUGUGAGGUCGGCAACCAAGUCUCCCGACCUCUGGGAACCUCUCCAAAUCCCUCCUGGGUUCAAUACGGGACUAUGUUGAACAGCGCAGAGCCAUGUCUCCUAACACAUGCUGGGUCCAUCUCUUGUUACCCUCUCCUCUCCAGUGUCUCUGUAAAUACCUCCAGGGAUGCCCGGAUGGCCCUGAUUCUGAGCAGGGACCAUCAUCUCUCCUGUGCUCCAGUUACCCUGCCAGCGACCUGUGUGUCCUCAUCCCUACUCCAGCCAUCGUUCUUCUUGGCGGUCACAGGAGAAGCCCUUCUUCCCACACCCUGGAUCCCCCUCCAGUGUCUCAACUAUUCCUGCACUGGCACCAUCUUAGCCCCUUUCAGACCAAAAG